AAUAUUGUUUUAAAUCUAGCUAAGAAUUGAUUUAUAUUUACAUAUUUACAUUUAAAUGUAAUGGUCGUCCAAAUUCAUAAGUCUCCAAAAAUUUAAACUGAUAGCUAACCCGCCUUACGAUAUUCGAAAACACCUUCCAGCCCUAUCCGAUACUUAGAUAAUAGCCAUCAGCUGGUCCAGUUUGACAGAUCGGUGUCAUCUCAAAAUAUCGCAAAACUAAGUUUCCAAGUUCAGGCGAGGCCCUUAUAGUUUCUUUUCCGUUUCAAACCCUCAUAUGAGCAGACGUAAAAAAAUUGGAUAAGAUAACAUAUUGUUCCUUUGGGCAUAUGGUAUCCACGUGCCAGUUACUUUGAUCGCACCUUAACCAAAGACAUCCGCUGCCAAAGCCAAUUAAUUUGCCAAUUGAACUUCGUUCUCCUUUUUGGUGGAAUCGUUACGAUUGCUGCCUUUCACGGCUAAAUAGGGUCUGGCUACGCCGCCUAGUUGUGUAUUGAGUAAAUCAAAAGUCAAUAUUAGCUGCUCAAAAAGUUACAUAACUUCAUCCAAAGGUCACGAGUUGUCCGAUCUCCAGUAGAAUAGGAGUACAUAAGCCUGCAAACAUCGUCGUCAAAAAAGGCUGGACUUUACGGCCAGUGUCUAAGACAAAACAUAACGGCACAUCUCUACCCUACCCCU